AACGCGAAGAACCUUACCUACCCUUGACAUACUGAGAAUUCUGCAGAGAUGUGGAAGUGCCGAAAGGAGCUCAGAUACAGGUGCUGCAUGGCUGUCGUCAGCUCGUGUCGUGAGAUGUUGGGUUAAGUCCCGUAACGAGCGCAACCCUUGUUAUUAAUUGCUACCAGGUAAAGCUGGGCACUUUAAUAAGACUGCUGGUGACAAACCAGAGGAAGGCGGGGACGACGUCAAGUCAUCAUGGCCCUUACGGGUAGGGCUACACACGUGCUACAAUGGGCGAUACAGAGGGUCGCGAAGUCGCGAGACGGAGCCAAUCUCAGAAAGUCGCUCGUAGUCCGGAUUGCAGUCUGAAACUCGACUGCAUGAAGCUGGAAUCGCUAGUAAUCGCAAAUCAGAAUGUUGCGGUGAAUACGUUCCCGGGCCUUGUA
rnacentral:rRNA from 1 species